AGAUAGUAUACUUUACAAAAAUCUAUUUAUUUUGGCGGCAUUUUAUCUUAUUAGAGGAACUUGUUCUAUAAUCGAUACUCCACGAUAAAUUUCACUUUAAAAAAAAAUUUAUAUACCGCCAUUUUUCAGAAUUAAUUAAAAAUUUAUAUUCAAAACAAUAAAUAAAAAAUUAGGUCAAGGUGUAAUAUAUAUUAAAGAAUGAAUGAGUUACCAUAUAUAUAAUAUAUAAAAAAUAUUCAAAUAUAUUAAAAAAAGAAUUUAAAAGUAAUAAAAUAACAAUAAUAUUUUAUGAAUAAGAAAAUAAAUGUGC
rnacentral:rRNA from 1 species